UCAAAGUAAGGUCAUUUUCAACUGAUGUC
rnacentral:piRNA from 1 species